rnacentral:rRNA from 1 species
GGAGGGCAAGUCUGGUGCCAGCAGCCGCGGUAAUUCCAGCUCCAAUAGCGUAUAUUAAAGUUGUUGCAGUUAAAAAGCUCGUAGUUGAACCUUGGGUCUGGCUGGCCGGUCCGCCUCACCGCGAGUACUGGUCCGGCUGGACCUUUCCUUCCGGGGAAUCUCAUGGCCUUCACUGGCUGUGGGGGGAACCAGGACUUUUACUGUGAAAAAAUUAGAGUGUUUAAAGCAGGC